GAUGAACGCUAGCUACAGGCUUAACACAUGCAAGUCGAGGGGAAACGACAUCGAAAGCUUGCUUUGAUGGGCGUCGACCGGCGCACGGGUGAGUAACGCGUAUCCAACCUGCCCGUCACUUGGGGAUAACCUUGCGAAAGUAAGACUAAUACCCAAUGAUAUCCCACGAAGGCAUCCGAAUGGGAUUAAAGAUUUAUCGGUGAUGGAUGGGGAUGCGUCUGAUUAGCUUGUUGGCGGGGUAACGGCCCACCAAGGCUACGAUCAGUAGGGGUUCUGAGAGGAAGGUCCCCCACAUUGGAACUGAGACACGGUCCAAACUCCUACGGGAGGCAGCAGUGAGGAAUAUUGGUCAAUGGGCGCAAGCCUGAACCAGCCAAGUAGCGUGAGGGAAGACUGCCCUACGGGUUGUAAACCUCUUUUGUUUGGGAAUAAAGUGCGGGACGUGUCCCGCAUUGCAUGUACCAUUUGAAUAAGGACCGGCUAAUUCCGUG
rnacentral:rRNA from 1 species